UGUAAUCUUUGAUCAUAUGAAUAAAAUUUUAAUAUACUGUUAUCACAUAUUUUAAUAAUUAUUAAUUAUUCCGUACUCAAGAAUCGAUAUUAUAGUUGUACAAUAAUUGUAAAUAUACACGCCUGCUGUCAAGACGGGCUACAUCACUGCGACAUGUUUCCAUGCUUCUCAUAAUGCUAGCAUUAUAGGCAAUUCAUGUCUAUUAGUAUAAGGUCUAUG